GACGAACGCUGGCGGCGUGCUUAACACAUGCCAGUCGAACGGAAAGGCCCUGCUUGCAGGGUACUCGAGUGGCGAACGGGUGAGUAACACGUGGGUGAUCUGCCCUGCACUUCGGGAUAAGCCUGGGAAACUGGGUCUAAUACCGGAUAGGAGCCAUUUUUAGUGUGAUGGUUGGAAAGUUUUUUCGGUGUAGGAUGAGCUCGCGGCCUAUCAGCUUGUUGGUGGGGUAAUGGCCUACCAAGGCGGCGACGGGUAGCCGGCCUGAGAGGGUGGACGGCCACAUUGGGACUGAGAUACGGCCCAGACUCCGACGGGAGGCAGCAGUGGGGAAGAUUGCACAAUGGGCGCAAGCCUGAUGCAGCGACGCCGCGUGGGGGAUGACGGCCUUCGGGUUGUAAACUCCUUUCGCUAGGGACGAAGCUUUUUGUGACGGUACCUAGAUAAGAAGCACCGGCUAACUACGUG
rnacentral:rRNA from 1 species